CUUUGAUGCUGUCCCUAAAGCAGUGGGAAAGAGCUUCAGGUCUCUGAGCUUGACCAGUGUUUCAGCUCUCCCUUGGAGUCCCGGGAAACGUAUCUCUUGGGAUCAGGAGCUGGGAUGGAACCCAGGGCUCCUGAGAUGGGACAAAGCUAUGCUCUGUGCACCUGUCUUGCCUCCUCACUUUGUACAAUGAGGUCCCACAAGCUCUCCUGGGAGAGUGAGCAGCUGACGAAAUCCCAGAGGCCCUGAAACCUCCCUUCCAUGUGCCUUCAGCCAAAAGCAGAACUGGAAACAUCCUAAGUGGGCCGGUAACGAGGCUAGCUCUGUCGACUAGUUCAAGACCCCUGAGCGCUUUGGGCCUGAGGUUCCUCAGCUUCCAAGUGAAAGGCUUCGACUUGGCAUUCUAAGAGACAAUCUCUGUGACCAUCAGUUUCCUCAUCUGUAAAACUGGCAUCAUGAUAACUUUGAAGGUUUUAUUCUGGGCAUAUAUAUGUUUGGAGGUGUGUGUAUGUUUGGGGAACCUUUGAAUUUGGAAGUACCAAGAGACAAGAACUUGCUGUGUUGCCCAGGCUGGUCUUGAACUUCUGGCCUCAAGAAGAUCCUCCCACCUCGACCUCUCAAAGUGUUGGUAUUACAGACGUGAGCCACUGGGCCCCACUGUGUUCUGUUCUUAUUGCCCAUGACAAUUAAAGUUAGCUCUAUCUCAUCUCCAUGACCAUCACAAACACAUGCCAUUAAUUUUGCUCACCCAAAUCUCUAUGCUCUGACUUCUGGGCACCUAGUACUGGCUAAUGAGCUGUGAGCUGGGCCAGAGCAUAGAAUAGCUGGUGCGAGACCUUUUGAGAGUUCUAUCUCCCUCUGUCAUGGCAACCAGCCAUAUUCAAAAUGGCAACCAGCAAUAUUCAAAAUGAGGGCUACUGCCAGGCAUGCUGGCUCAUGCCUGUAAUCCCAG
rnacentral:lncRNA from 1 species